rnacentral:rRNA from 1 species
AGAGUUUGAUCCUGGCUCAGGAUGAACGCUGGCGGCGUGCCUAACACAUGCAAGUCGAACGGAGUUACUUUGGUGAAGUUUUCGGAUGGAUCUGAUUUAACUUAGUGGCGGACGGGUGAGUAAUGCGUGAGCAACCUGCCCUUCAGAGGGGGACAACAGUUGGAAACGACUGCUAAUACCGCAUAAUGUAUUCGGAAGGCAUCUUCUGGAUACCAAAGGAGAAAUCCGCUGAUGGAUGGGCUCACGUCUGAUUAGCUAGUUGGUGAGGUAACGGCUCACCAAGGCUGCGAUCAGUAGCCGGACUGAGAGGUUGAACGGCCACAUUGGGACUGAGAUACGGCCCAGACUCCUACGGGAGGCAGCAGUGGGGAAUAUUGGGCAAUGGGCGAAAGCCUGACCCAGCAACGCCGCGUGAAGGAAGAAGGCCUUCGGGUUGUAAACUUCUUUUAAGAGGGACGAAGAAGUGACGGUACCUCUUGAAUAAGCCACGGCUAACUACGUGCCAGCAGCCGCGGUAAUACGUAGGUGGCGAGCGUUAUCCGGAUUUACUGGGUGUAAAGGGCGCGUAGGCGGGAAUGCAAGUCAGAUGUGAAAUCCAAGGGCUCAACCCUUGAACUGCAUUUGAAACUGUAUUUCUUGAGUGUCGGAGAGGUUGACGGAAUUCCUAGUGUAGCGGUGAAAUGCGUAGAUAUUAGGAGGAACACCAGUGGCGAAGGCGGUCAACUGGACGAUAACUGACGCUGAGGCGCGAAAGCGUGGGGAGCAAACAGGAUUAGAUACCCUGGUAGUCCACGCCGUAAACGAUGGAUACUAGGUGUAGGAGGUAUCGACCCCUUCUGUGCCGCAGUUAACACAAUAAGUAUCCCACCUGGGGAGUACGACCGCAAGGUUGAAACUCAAAGGAAUUGACGGGGGCCCGCACAAGCAGUGGAGUAUGUGGUUUAAUUCGAAGCAACGCGAAGAACCUUACCUGGGCUUGACAUCCCUGGAAUCGAGUAGAGAUACUUGAGUGCCUUCGGGAAUCAGGUGACAGGUGGUGCAUGGUUGUCGUCAGCUCGUGUCGUGAGAUGUUGGGUUAAGUCCCGCAACGAGCGCAACCCCUAUUGUCAGUUGCCAUCAUUAAGUUGGGCACUCUGGCGAGACUGCCGGUGACAAAUCGGAGGAAGGUGGGGACGACGUCAAAUCAUCAUGCCCCUUAUGCCCAGGGCUACACACGUACUACAAUGGCCGAUAACAAAGUGCAGCGAAACCGUGAGGUGGAGCGAAUCACAAAACUCGGUCUCAGUUCAGAUUGCAGGCUGCAACUCGCCUGCAUGAAGUUGGAAUUGCUAGUAAUCGCGGAUCAGAAUGCCGCGGUGAAUACGUUCCCGGGCCUUGUACACACCGCCCGUCACACCAUGAGAGUCGAUAACACCCGAAGCCUGUGAGCUAACCUAUUAGGAGGCAGCAGUCGAAGGUGGGGUUGAUGAUUGGGGUGAAGUCGUAACAAGGUA